AUUUACUUUAGUCAGACGCAGCCUGUUCACUGUGAGCAUUCAGCCUACCCCGAUGGUCUCCUGGUAGACAUGGAUUACAAACUGCAUCCCACCUUUUGAUCACUAGUUUCACAGGUCAAACCCAGGUUUAAGAGCAGAUUUCUUGAGGCAAGAAACUGCACAUGGAGCUCACAGAAAACAAGAACAAAAUGGAAUUCAAACAAACGAUGUGGGCCAGAGCGGUAAUACUUUACUGCGGUGUGGUAUUCCUCUACCACCAGGUAAGCAGUACAGUUGAAGUCGGAAGUUUACAUACACCUUAGCCAAAUUCAUUUAAACUCAGUUUUUCACAAUUCCUGAAUCCUAGUAAAAAUUCCCUGUCUUAGGAUCACCACUUUAUUUUAAAAAUGUGAAAUGUCAGAAUAAUAGUAGAG
ensembl:lncRNA